CUUGCGCACGUCGUGCGGAGUCCACGAAGCUGUGCCACUUGUCCUGGAAUUCUCAGGGACGAGCAGCGUCCGUACGAGUGACUCGUCUUCCGCCUUCGAUUCUCGGUUCCGCUGAAAUUCUACGGACGUGGCUCCGUUCGAGGGCAACCGGGGGAACAGCUCGAGGUUUUGGACGAGUUUGAUGGUUUCGAGGAUUCGUAUAAAAUUCCCCUGUACACAUAUUCGUCCCUCGAUACCGACUUAUCGCAUUAGUCCAGCUGACGAAUCCCCGACAGCUCGAGCAGCAUAACGAUGCUAUCUCGGGCACGAUUUCAACGAGCAUGGCCCAUUAAGCGGGAUAGCCGGUGUCUAACGGAAGCGUGUCAAUCAGCUAAGACCUCGCAGCAUCGUGUGUACCCGCGAUCUAUCGACACGUUUCUCGAUCGUGCGAAUCGUCGCGCGAGCGGACGACACGAGGCUCUCGAGUGCCGGAAGGCCGUACGCGGCAGCCUCAUCAUGGAGGACUUGAGAAAUAGACACAUUACGGCGUGUAACUCGGACUGGGCUGGCUGUCAUUAGCCGCGUCAUCCCGUGGAAUGCCGAUACGUGAAUCGAGACCAUCUUGCAUACGUUUGGCCUUGAAUUUAUCGAAGUGAACGAGACGAGUCGGUCGACUCUCAGGAAGGAGGGGAAUAAGAAGAAUGUCAGUUCGGUAAAGGGAGAAGAGACACGCGAUCUUGUGAAAUGAUUCAAUUCGCCAAGACUUUCGAAAAUCAUCGUAAGAAAGAUUGUCGGGAUCGAGAUAGUUCGGGCUGAUGUUAUCAACCAUGGAAGAGAUACACAGAUGAUUAAUGAAGAUA